rnacentral:lncRNA from 1 species
GAAAUUUCAUAUUUUUGAGAUCACGUCCCUGGUUCAGUGAAAUUUCUUUCCCUGUAUAAUGUGGAGUACUCAUGGCCAGAUGGGUUAUCUGCUAUUCUCACUGUCCUCUGAGAUAUCAUCAACUGGACACUGUUAAGACUGGCCUCCAUAACAGGUAUUCCCUGGUGAUCAGGUAAUCCUGUGGUCAUGUUUUCAGAAAUUUUAAGGACAGAACAGAUCAUCUUCUCUGUUUUUUUACAUAAUGCAAGCCCUGAUUUUAAUUCAGCUGGGGCACAUACUAUUCAUUUUCACUUUCAAACAUAAUAAGGGUAAAGUAUGUCUUUGCACAGUCCUUGUAUUUAGAGCUGGAGAAAUCCUAAUUGGUCUCAUUUCAUGUGUCUCCUGGGGACCAGCAGAGGAUCAUUUCCUUUAGUGAGUGCAGACAUAAGUUCUAAGUGAUUCAAAAGAUAGAGGUUUCACUGCUUUCCUGGAAAAAAAAUCUCCUGCAAAAAGAUCUUGCUUAUUUUUUCCACUGUUCCUAGUGUUAUGUCCAUAAACACAAUAAUUCAAAUCUUUGAAAAUGUUUUCAUCUCAAAAGAGGCUACCAGCUUUCCCUGUGUACUGCCUCUCAGGGAUUUGUACAGCUCUUCCUUGACUCUAAAUUCACUUUAUCAUCACUUCGACAUUUUUUUCCAGGUGCAAAAUCCAUGUAACCUUGGAUCCACUGCUUUCUCAUUUUCUUGGCUACCUCAGGUGCAGGAUCAGCAGAGAAAUUUAUGUUCCACUCCCCAACCGCUCCUGCUCCGUGAAGACACCAGAGUUUAUCCCUGAAUUCCCAGCAAGGGGACAAAUGCUGCCACCAAGCUUAAAAAAGCUUUGUUGAUCUGAGAAUGUUCAGAGAUCUGCACAAUACAAACGACAACUACAUCCCUCUACCACACUGCUUGCAUGUGACCAAAAUUUUCACCCUCAAUUUUUGCUGCAUCAGGCCACAUAGUAGGAGAGAAGGUUGCAUCUAGUUCCUUCCCAGAGAGUCCAUCUCUUUUGAUUUUGUAUUUGGCAAAAUAAAUCAUUUUUAUUUAUCA